GCUCAAGAAAAUUAUCAUCUGGCAAGUGUAUAAGGCGUAUCACGGACGCUGCUCCGAGCAAAAAAUUAGUACGUUUUCCUUCCAACGGACGAAAGUUCCGAAAGAGACCCGAUACGAAAACGAAAACCCCAGACCACCACCAUCUCCCGACUACCCGCGCCCCUCGCCUCCGAUCUCCGUCCCACCGCCUUUUAUAAAUGCCGCGAGAUCGCUUCGCUCCCUUCUAGCUAUCCUUCCUUCUUGGAUCGGACUUCUUCCCCCUUCCGCCAUGGCUUCUUGGCUCAAGGCCGCCGAAGACUUAUUCGAGGUUGUAGACCGGAGAGCAAAACUUGUUGUUGGUGAGUUGUCAGAUGAGCAGGCUGCUUCACAAGACUUAGCAUCCAACAAUCAAGAAGUUCAAACCAGGAGGGCAAAACCCAAGGAGAAGGGUCAAUUAAAACUCUCCACCACUGAAACUUACAAAGGCAUCAGACCUGAGCAAGACCGGAAAACCAAACAACCAUCAGUGCAAAUUGUGAAAACUGAUAAUGUCAAAACUUCUCCAUCUGAACAUUCUUCUCUUCAUGUUAGUAGUAAUGACACUGCAGAAACAAGCACAGAACCACCUUCUGAUAACAACAAAGAUACAACAGUAUCAGAUAUUGAAAGUGAUAAAGGUGGAAAUGAUAUAAACAAUGAGGUGGAAGUCCCAUCUGUGGACAAUAACAAAGAAAGCACAACUUCCUCUGCAAAUGAUCAUGUGAAAGUUGCAAAUUCAAAAGAUGAGCUUGAAAGGCCUUCCACCCCUCCCUCCAUUGGCAAAGGAAUUGAGAUAUCCAAUGGAGAUCAUCCUGCUGAUGCAGAACCAAAAGUCGAUUUGGUGGAUGAAACUACCUCGGCUGUCAACCAAGAGAGACCUGGAUCUGAAACAGUGGAAAGCCACAGCACUAGCAACACCCAAGAAAAUGAGAAAGAGAUCUUACUGGAGCUUUCAUCAAACAUGAACAAGCAACAGGAGCAUAAGACUGAUGCCUCUCCCAUGAAAGUUCAAGACCAGCUUGAUGAGGCUCAAGGAUUGCUUAAGAGUGCAGUUAAGACUGGUCAGUCAAAAGAAGCCAGGUUAGCUAGGGUCUGUGCUGGACUUUCUUCCCGUCUUCAAGAAUACAAGGCUGAGAAUGCACAGUUGGAGGAACUUCUUGUUGCAGAGAGGGAGCUCAGUUCUUCUUACGAAGCUCGCAUAAAGCAACUGCAGCAAGAGUUAUCUGCGUCCAAGAUGGAAGUGGCAAGAGCUGAAUCAAAUAUGGCUGAUGCUUUAUUUGCAAAAAACUCUGAAAUUGAGGCUCUUACAAGUUCAGUGGAUGCUCUGAAGAAACAAAGUGGUGCUGCAGAAGAAAAGCUUGCAUCCUUACAGGCUGACAUGGAAACUAUUAUGAGGAGUCGUGAACUAACUGAAACCCGGAUGAUCCAGGCUUUACGAGAAGAACUUGCUUCUGCAGAGCGUAGAGCUGAAGAAGAGCGUGCAGCACACAGUGCCACCAAAAUGGCAGCAGUAGAAAGAGAAAUAGAAUUAGAACACCGAGCUGUUGAGGCAUCUAAUGCUCUUGCUAGAAUCCAGAGACAAGCAGAUGAAAGCACAACAAGGGCAAUGGAACUGGAGCACAAAGUGGCUUUGCUUGAGGUUGAAUGUGCAUCUCUGACUCAAGAGCUACAAGAAAUGGAAGCUCGUAAUCGUCGUGGCCAGAAGAAGCCUUCUGAAGAAGCUAGUCAAAACCUUCAGAUGCAGGCAUGGCAGGAAGAAGUGGAGCGUGCGCGUCAAGGACAAAGAGAAGCAGAGAACAAGCUUUCUUCUUUAGAGGCUGAGAUACAAAAAAUGAGAGUAGAGAUGGCUGGAAUGAGAAGGGAUGCAGAGCAUUAUUCACGGCAGGAACAUAUGGAACUAGAGAAACGAUAUCGUGAACUGACAGAUUUAUUGUACCAUAAGCAAACACAACUAGAAGCAAUGGCCAGUGAAAAGGCUGCAAUGGAGUUUCAACUGGAGAAAGAGUUAAAGCGUUUCCAAGAAGCACAGGUUGAAGCAGAACGAAGUAGAGCUACCCGCCGAUCAUCAUCAACAUGGGAAGAAGAUACCGAUAUAAAAGCACUCGAUUGCAGACUUGCGCAAACGUUCCUGUGCAAAUUGUAUAGUGGGUUUGGCCUUCUUCAACAGCAAAAGGGGGGAAAAAAUCAUGUAACAGAUCAAUUGAGAACUGAAAAACGUGCUUAUUAUUAGUGCAAGAUUUGCACUCAAAUGAGUAGGUUAAUUUGUUAUGAUUGGUCAUUAGGUACAAAAUAAAGCUGAAUAAGAGUGCCUGUGACCUACAGCUAUUACUUGAAGCCGGCGAUUCAAUUUAGUUCAAUCUUCCUGGUCAAAGAAGGUUCUAUGUCAAGAGAAUGCUAGAUUUUCACAAAUAAUGUCUGCUGGUGGUGCGACUCUCCUUAGGCCUCUUCCUCUGCACCACCGGCAUAUGGUUGGGGCUAGCAUACAGUUGCAAAAGGCUGCAAAGCUUUUAGACUCAGGAGCUGUCCGUGCAACUAGAUUUCUAUGGCGGUAUCCAGUUGCUCGGGUCAUCCUACUCUUCUAUCUGGUAUUUAUCCACCUCUUUUUGAUGUAUGUGUUGCACCGCCUUCAGGAGCAAGCGGACAACUUCGCCUCCAGGGAAGUUGCUUUAUCUAUGGGUCUUGGCAAUUCAAGUUUGCCAUGAGUUGGCCAGCCAAUGCACAUCUGGUGGUCAUGCCAUUCCAUGGAUCUCUAGGAUCAUGCAAAAGCCUUGGUGUUUGAAUCUUUCGCCUGAGGACUUUCCUCUUUUUUGCCUGUGUAAAUGCUCUCGUUUUGUGGCUAGCCUCUUAACCAUUCUUUCAUCUCUUAUAUAACUAUCAGCAACUUAAUGCAAAUUGAUGAUUAUUAUUUGGAAAUGAAUAUACAAGUUCAGGAACGUUGG